GACGAACGCUGGCGGCGUGCUUAACACAUGCAAGUCGAACGGAAAGGCCCUGCUUGCAGGGUACUCGAGUGGCGAACGGGUGAGUAACACGUGGGUGAUCUGCCCUGCACUUCGGGAUAAGCCUGGGAAACUCGGUCUAAUACCGGAUAGGAGCCAUUUUUAGUGUGAUGGUUGGAAAGUUUUUUCGGUGUAGGAUGAGCUCGCGGCCUAUCAGCUUGUUGGUGGGGUAAUGGCCUACCAAGGCGGCGACGGGUAGCCGGCCUGAGAGGGUGGACGGCCACAUUGGGACUGAGGUACGGCCCAGACUCCUACGGGAGGCAGCAGUGGGGAAUAUUGCACAAUGGGCGCAAGCCUGAUGCAGCGACGCCGCGUGGGGGAUGACGGCCUUCGGGUUGUAAACUCCUUUCGCUAGGGACGAAGCUUUUUGUGACGGUACCUAGAUAAGAAGCACCGGCUAACUACGUG
rnacentral:rRNA from 1 species